CAGAAAAACAAUUUUAUUAAGCAUACUCAUCAAGAGCCAAAAUGUUACAGAUAGAAUGGGAGGUGAAACCCAAGUAGUAAUGCAAGACAAGGUAAUAGCAUCCCUAGCUAAAAAGUGAGCCACCCUAUUUGCAUCUCUGUAAACCCAACUGAAAGAGAACAUCCCCUGGCAAACAAGGGAGUUACAAUCUUGAAUAAUAGAGCCAUAGACAGAUCGAUCCUCUACCUCUGACUGACAAGCAUAAAAAAUAAGCUGAGAAUCAACUUCUACUUCAACAUGGGAAAGCUGCAGAUCAAGAAGCCAUGGCAGAGCCUCUCGUAAACCCAUUUGCCUCAGCGACCUUCACCUCAUAAAGACCAAGAAAAGGACCUGACACACCUCCGACGAAAGCUCCUUGAUCAUUCCGCAAAACUGCAGCAAAGCCUGAACUAUUCAUUGCCUGAAAAAGUGUUGCAUCGACGUUGAACUUGAGAUUUCCAGUUGUAGGCUUGGUCCAAGUUCUCCUAACAAUAACAGGCACACUAGCUGAUAAGAUUAUUCUGCCUAAACUCUGAGCUUGUCUCCAAUCAGAUAAGAAUUUCUCAGCUUCAUUGACCACCAUCUGAGAAGUUUUAAACUUAGAGUGCCAAAGAAUAAAAUUCCAUGUAGCCCAUAUACUCCAUGCAACCAUUGCAAUCCUAAUAGCUUUCUCCAAACUAUUUGCCGAGAGGGCAUUGAAGAAAAAAAUCCCUAAAAGACAAAGCUGAAGAAGCUAAAUUGAACCCAACAAUGUUCCAACAAUUUGAUGCAAAAGGAUAAGAAAGAAGGACAUGAUAAAUGCUCUCCUCCUCACCACAAAAUAAACAACGUGGGUCAAUAUCCAAACCCCUUUGAAGAAGACAAAUUUUAGCUGGGAGAAUUACUUUACAUGCUCUCUAACCAAAGUUUUGCACUUUGGAGGCAAAUCAACAGGCCACAACCCUCGCCAAUUGAAAUGAGAAGUAG
rnacentral:misc_RNA from 1 species